AGAAUCAACGCUGGCGGCGUGCCUCAGACAUGCAAGUCGAACGCGAAAGUUCCCUUCGGGGAACGAGUAGAGUGGCGCACGGGUGAGUAACACGUAGGUAAUCUACCUUUGGAUGGGGAAUAACAACCGGAAACGGUUGCUAAUACCGCAUGAUGCAGCGGCACCUAAUGGUGACAGUUGUUAAAGCGGGGGAUCGAAAGACCUCGCGUCUGAAGAGGAGCCUGCGGCGGAUUAGCUAGUUGGUAAGGUAAUGGCUUACCAAGGCUACGA
rnacentral:rRNA from 1 species